rnacentral:sRNA from 1 species
UAUCACAACCACGAUGACCUGCGGUGCG